CGGCCGCUCUCUAGCUGCCAUCUUGCGUCCCCGCGUGUGUGCGCUUAUUCUCAGCUGGUCUGCCCAAGACCCCCUGAGCGCCAACCCUAGUCCCCCGCGCGGCCCCGUUUCCUCUCCAACAAGAUGAAAGAAACUAUCAUGAACCAGGAGAAACUCGCCAAACUGCAGGCACAAGUGCGCAUUGGUGGGAAAGGAACUGCUCGUAGAAAGAAGAAGGUGGUUCACAGAACAGCUACAGCAGAUGAUAAAAAACUUCAGUUCUCCUUAAAGAAGUUAGGGGUAAAUAAUAUUUCUGGUAUUGAGGAGGUAAAUAUGUUCACAAACCAAGGAACAGUGAUCCACUUUAACAAUCCUAAAGUUCAGGCAUCUCUGGCAGCGAACACUUUCACCAUUACAGGCCAUGCUGAGACAAAGCAGCUGACAGAAAUGCUACCCAGCAUCUUAAACCAGCUUGGUGCAGACAGUCUGACUAGUUUAAGGAGACUGGCUGAAGCUCUGCCCAAACAAUCUGUGGAUGGAAAAGCACCACUUGCUACUGGAGAGGAUGAUGAUGAUGAAGUUCCAGAUCUUGUGGAGAAUUUUGAUGAGGCUUCCAAGAAUGAGGCAAACUGAAUUGAGUCAACUUCUGAAGAAGAUAAUCUUGAAGAAGUUACUGGGAGCUAUUCUAUAUUAUGACUGCUUUUUUCAAAUUUUGUUUAUGGAUCUGAUAAAAUCUAGAUCUCUAAUAUUUUUUAGCCCAACCCCCCUGGACAUUGCAGCUCUUUUCAGUUUUUGCUUAUACAUAAAUCAUUCUUUGCAGCUAAUUAAGCUGAAGAGGCCUGGGAAUAAAGUUUGAAACAGGUGAUGCUGAUGUUGCAGGUACACUGACCAUGCUUUGAAUAGCACAAUUGGAGAUGUUCUGUAUUCAUCCCAAGAAAUUGGGGUGAUUGACAGGCUGACGUUGAGUAUUUGAAGAAUGCCACUAUCUGAA